CCUACGGGAGGCAGCAGUGAGGAAUAUUGGUCAAUGGACGAGAGUCUGAACCAGCCAAGUAGCGUGAAGGAUGACUGCCCUACGGGUUGUAAACUGCUUUUAUAUGGGAAUAAAACGUUCCACGUGUGGGAUUUAUUAUAUACAAUAUGAGUAAGGAUCGGCUAACUUCGUGCCCGCAGCCGCGGUAAUACGGAGGAUCCGAGCGUUAUCCGGAGUUAUUGGGUGUAAAGGGAGCGUAGGUGGAUUGUUAAGUCAGUUGUGAAGGUUUGCGGCUCAACCGUAAAAUUGCAGUUGAAACUGGCAGCCUUGAGUACAGUAGGGGUGGGCGGAAUUCGUGGUGUAGCGGUGAAAUGCUUAGAUAUCACGAAGAACUCCGAUUGCGAAGGCAGUUCACUGGACUGCAACUGACGCUGAGGCUCGAAAGUGUGGGUAUCAAACAGGAUUAGAUACCCGGGUAGUC
rnacentral:rRNA from 1 species